AAACGACUCUCGGCAACGGAUAUCUUGGCUCUCGCAUCGAUGAAGAACGUAGCGAAAUGCGAUACUUGGUGUGAAUUGCAGAAUCCCGUGAACCAUCGAGUCUUUGAACGCAAGUUGCGCCUGAAGCCAUCUGGCCGAGGGCACGUCUGCUUGGGUGUCACGU
rnacentral:rRNA from 1 species